UUUCCAACAGACAAUGUUGACUUGCAAGAGCUGCGCUCUUCUAGUGUUACUAUUCACAUUUCUUCCAGGUGUUUCUGCAGAGCUUACGGAUGGUGAGAUUGUUGGAAUAGCGUUUGGCUGCCUCGGUUUCUUUGUUCUUCUGAUAGUGUGCCUAUGCUGCUGUUGCGGUUACGGGGGCGCCAAGUGGGAGAAGUUUAAAAUGUGUUGCAAUCAGAGUUAAUCUUGUUUUCGAUAAUAAAGAGAAAAUAAAUAUUGGAAACAAAA
rnacentral:sRNA from 1 species